GCCGAGGUGGCGAAAUUGGCAGACGCGUACGGUUUAGGACCGUAUGGGGAAACCCUUGGAGGUUCGAUUCCUCUCCUCGGCACAA
rnacentral:tRNA from 1 species